rnacentral:rRNA from 1 species
UAGGGAAUCUUCCGCAAUGGACGAAAGUCUGACGGAGCAACGCCGCGUGAGUGAAGAAGGAUUUCGGUUCGUAAAACUCUGUUGUUAGGGAAGAAAAAAUGUAUAGUAACUAUAUACAAAAGAGACGGUACCUAACCAGAAAGCCACGGCUAACUACGUGCCAGCAGCCGCGGUAAUACGUAGGUGGCAAGCGUUGUCCGGAAUUAUUGGGCGUAAAGCGCGCGCAGGUGGUUUAGAAAGUCUGAUGUGAAAGCCCACGGCUCAACCGUGGAGGGUCAUUGGAAACUAAUAAACUUGAGUGCAGGAGAGAAAAGUGGAAUUCCUAGUGUAGCGAUGAAAUGCGUAGAGAUUAGGAGGAACACCGGUGGCGAGAGCGGCUUUUUGGCCUGCAACUGACACUGAGGCGCGAAAGCGUGGGGAGCAAACAGG